GAUCGAUUCUGCGCAGACCUGGCUCAUCUCAAACGAGCCUAAAAUGUUUGCUGGGAAAAAGGUCCAUACAUCCAAACAAAUGUUUGUUGUGAUGAAAUGAGAUACAAUUACAACACUGGCAUUGUCUGUUAAAGUACCAAAGUAGUUGUCAUUCAGCCUGUGUCUUUGGACAAUAGGGCACUGUAGUUGCAUUCCUGAGAGGAAAAACUGUGUACUCGGAGCUGGACUGUUGGAUUAUGGACACUGAGAGAAUACUGAAUACAUUGUUUACGCCUCACGAAGUCUUUCAGUCACCACAAGACUCAACUUCCAUUUUAUAUAACAGCUUUAGCAAAGGAGCAGUUUGGGGAUGACUCAGAGGGACAUCCAGCUGAGCCCCACCCACCUCAAAACAGUGAAGAAAAGUUACGAAAACUCUGAGAGAGGGAUUACACGUCUUUCUUGGUCUACAUCCUAGAGCCUCUGCUGGGACUGGAGCCGCCACCCACCACAGGACCUCAGCUGCUCCGGGGCUACCAGCAUGGCUCCUAUGUGGGUUUAUAAAUGAUCCGGGACCAGGCGCCAUGCAGUGCCACCCCCCGAGCAGACCCACAAAACACCCCUGGUAAGUACUCACAGCAUUAAAUGCUACUGUUACACCACACAACUGCUAGUCCCUGUCUGAAAUGAACUGUAAACUACAGCGAUCCUGAAGCAUCAGCUAAUUAUUACAGUGAGAUCGCUACGGAGCAGAGUUU